AUGCACAAAACUGAGUCUUGGUGUGUGGAUUGGUCUAAAUUACAUUUUGAAUUUAUUUUCUCUCCCAAUACCUGUAAAUCUGGUGUUUGUAAAAUAAUAUCUGUGCCUUUUUUGGUGCUGGCCAUUCAUUCCAGAAAGUUUGUAUUGCUUUCCAUAUGGAUUUUCAAGUUGCUACUGAUUGCUUUGGGUGCAAUGCUCUAACAUAUGAAGGUGAACUUUUGUGAUUGGUGACCUGGUAUUGUGUUUUUAACUAACUUCAAUUCUCACAGUAUUAAUCAUAAUUCCAAGAAGACUAUUUUAUGAUAAUAUUUAUGGACUUUGAAAAUCUGACAUAAAGUCCCCUGUUUCAGCAGCAAGUAAACAUUAAUUUUUAAAGGUUAGUGUUUUUAGAAACUUCUGCUAAACAACAAUCUGAUUAUUGUUGUUGGAAUAUAACCCAGGUAUUAUUACAGCAGCUGCCCACUGUCAGUUUUGUGAUAUAUAAACAUAUCUUUAUGUAAUAAUUUUAUCUAUAACUUUAAGAUUUUUUUCUUAUAUUUUUCUUAUUUUUCCAAACAGUGCUGGCAUAUUUUUGGAUAUAUUACACAAAAUGUAUGACAAAAUUCUAAAUAUUUAAAAGACCUUGGCUUCCUGACCAG
rnacentral:lncRNA from 1 species